GGGAUGCGUUCGAAAUAGCGCCGCUGGAGUCGACGCGUGCUGCAGACUUCGUCCCCGUGGCUGGACUCUGAGAGCGGUAACUAACGGCAGUGAACACGUCAUCAUUGAUUCCCAAGUUGUGGUAUCAUCCAGAGAUCGCGGUACCACACCAAAGUCGGCAUGGCGCAUUGAUAUGACAGAUAUUAGCGAUGUAUUACUGCACUCUACAUCGACAAAUGGGAGAUGCUCCUGAAGACACAUCCCCUCUCUCAGCACAGCAGCGACCUCACACGGAGUCCAAGGAGCUAUCUCCAAGAGCAAUCAAAGAACCCACAUUUAUGGCUGGACGAUUGUAGUUUCGUCUGGUCAUAACAAUAGUGUAACGAUAGCAAGAAUGAGACUUUUUUCGAAAUCAUCUAUGGACGUCGUGACUUUAAAUGUCAGU